rnacentral:lncRNA from 1 species
UGGGCUUAACCACAUCAGGACUCAGGGCUGCCGCUGACUUGAACUUGGGACACCCGCGGCGGUGCGGGCUGAGAAUGUGAGCAGCGUUAUACCCUGACCCGGAUGCCCCUAUCUUGCCUCUCCCUCUGUGGCUAAGAGAGCUCUUCUGCUACUUUCUCUGCAGUUGCCACUUCUUAAAUAAACUUGUGCUUUGCACCAUAUCUGUCUUGACUCCCUGCUUUCCUACUUCCUCAUUCUUCAUCAGAGUGAGGGCAGGAAUCCAAAAAGAGGCAGAGGCUCAUUUCUGGGGACCCCUACCCGACAGAUACCCCCUACCAGACAAAACAGUUCCUUCUUGAGACUCCAAGGGAGGAUCUAUUCCAUGUCAUCGUCCUGGCUUCGGGUGUUGACUGACAAUCUUUGGCAUUCUCUGGCUAAUGCCUACAUCCCUUCAAUGUGUGCCUAAAUGGUUGCAUGCCCUUCUCACCGCUGGAGUCUGUGUCCAAAUCUCCCUCAUCUCCCAAGGGCACUAUCCAGGGCUUAUGGCCUACCUUAGCCCACUAUGACCUCAUCUUGACUUCAUUACAUCUGCCAAGAGACUGUUUCCAAAUCAGUAAGGUCACGCCCAGCAGGUACCAGGGUUAGGACAUGAGAUGCAGAAAAGACACUCACCCACAUACGAGUCUCUGUGAGAUGAGCACAGGCUGGGCAGUGGUGCCAUCGUGGGCUCAGAGCCUGGGGCUGCCACUCAGCCCACCCUCUGCUUCCUCUGCCCAGCAAAGUUGGAAGGACGAUCCAUACUCCCAAGGGAGUCCUAAAGAUCGCCUCACAGAGGAAGGACUGCAGAGCACCAUGGAGCCUGGAGGAUGGCAGAAAUUCAGCAAAGAUGGCCCUGAACUGGCCCUCAGAGCUCAGCCAGUGAAAUUGGGGGAGUGACCUUCAGCGAAGCACCAAGGAAGUCAUCACUCAGGAAAACAGACAGGGAAGAGAUUCCAGAAAGGACAAUUUGCAUGUGCAAAGGCCCUGUGGCAAGAGGGUGCUUGGCAAAUGAGAAAGACCAAAGACAAGGUCUGUGUGUCUGGACUGGACAGAGGGAAGGGA